rnacentral:rRNA from 1 species
GAUGAACGCUGGUGGCGUGCCUAACACAUGCAAGUCGAGCGAUUCUCUUCGGAGAAGAGCGGCGGACGGGUGAGUAACGCGGGGGUAACCUGCCCUGUACACACGGAUAACAUACCGAAAGGUAUGCUAAUACGAGAUAACAUGCUUUUAUCGCAUGGUAGAAGUAUCAAAGCUUUUGCGGUACAGGAUGGACCCGCGUCUGAUUAGCUAGUUGGUGAGGUAACGGCUCACCAAGGCGACGAUCAGUAGCCGACGUGAGAGGGUGAUCGGCCACAUUGGAACUGAGACACGGUCCAAACUCCUACGGGAGGCAGCAGUGGGGAAUAUUGCACAAUGGGCGAAAGCCUGAUGCAGCAACGCCGCGUGAGCGAUGAAGGCCUUCGGGUCGUAAAGCUCUGUCCUCAAGGAAGAUAAUGACGGUACUUGAGGAGGAAGCCCCGGCUAACUACGUG